UGUGGAUAGGAGUGAAAGGCUAAUCAAACUCGGAGAUAGCUGGUUCUCCCCGAAAUAUAUUUAGGUAUAGCCUCGCAAAGUAAGUAACGGGGGUAGAGCACUGGAUGGGCUAGGGGUCUUACCGGAUUACCAAACCUAACCAAACUCCGAAUACCGUUAACUGUUAUUGCGGGAGUCAGACUGCGGGUGAUAAGAUCCGCGGUCAAAAGGGAAAGAGCCCAGACCGCCAGCUAAGGUCCCAAAAUCUACGCUAAGUGGAAAACGAUGUGGAAAUGCCCAGACAACCAGGAGGUUGGCUUAGAAGCAGCCACCCUUUAAAGAAAGCG
rnacentral:rRNA from 1 species